rnacentral:lncRNA from 1 species
GAGUUGGGGGAGAGGACCAGAACCACCUGCUGGAGAAGGGGAGCUACGGGGGCCGGGCAGGGUCCAAACGCCUCACGUAGGCGGCGGCGCCACGGUCUUCGGGGUCACAGGGAAGAGAAGGGCUCUCCUCAAGCGGGUGGAAGGAGGGAGGCCUCCCGAGGGAGUGAGACUCUAGGCCACUCCCCCGCAGCAAGGCAGGAUCACCUGCGACGCGGAGAGCGGUUAGAGGGCCCUGGAGUGGAAAAGGGCAGUGGGACCUGGUAGCUUGGGUUCCCUGCAACUUGGGGUUCGACCUCCAGGCAAUGAAGUAGGGAUGGUCCUGCAAGUCAAGAUUCCAGUAGCAAGAGUGCAUCAGAUCUCUGUAAGGAAAAUAACUAACAUUGCUCAGUUCCCUGUAGAGUUGCAGGGCGCUUUAACGUUAUCUCCCUUGGUUCUCCAUCAGGUCGUAGUGGACUAAUUUUACAGGCGAAGUUAAGUGACUUACCCAAAACCUCACAGCUAAUAAACGGCAGAGCCGGCACCCAGCUGUACUGGCUUCCAAUUCUGUUAGCUUACCAGCGCAUCACAUUAUCUCCAUAAAUCCCCAUGAUUCAACUAAUAUUAGACGCCCCACAGAGUCUCGCUACUCAAAACGUGGUCAGUGGCCCAGCAGCACUGACAUGAGGAUGUUAGUUAGAAACUCAGAAUCUCAGGCUCCACCCCAGACCUGCUGAACCAGCAUCUUCAACUUAACAAGAACCCGAAGAGAUUUGUGUCACAUCAAAAAGUUUGAGAAGCUCUGAUCUAGGGCUGGAAGGAGUGUUGCUCAACAAUAUCCAAAACCACAGAGGUUGAAAAGCACAAGGAAAGAAGGUAUGUUUGCACUUUGUGAUUAGGUAGUAGGGUCUUUGAGACCACAUUGUUCUUAUUGAAAGCCUGGGAAGAAAGAUCCCCUUUCUGGUCAAGUUUAGUCUAGGGAUCCAUCCCAUCUUCCCCAGUUCCCACGUGUAUGGGACAUGUCGAGAUAAGUAGAUAGAUUGGACAGUGGGAGAAAGUAGUUCUCUUCCAGUUGCUUCUAUUUUCUCAGCAAAGUGAGGAGCAAGAUCAUUUUGGCAGACUGCUAAUUGUCCAUCACAAUUUAGUCUCCCUUUCUCCCUGAAAACACAGACUGCUUUUCUCAGCCUCUCUUUCAGUUGCAUAUGGUCAAGUAUUAAGUUAUAGAACGUGAGCAGAUGUUAUGUCUGCCACUGUCAGGCCAAGGCGUUUACUUUGAGAGUACUUGUGCCUCUUUCAUGCAUUUUCCUUUCUGCCAGCUGGACCCUGGACACGGUGACUCUGAUUCAAUUAUGCAGAUGACCACAAACCUCUGGGGUUGGCAGAGCCACAAGAAAGAAGGUGCCUGGAUGAAGGAGAGCUACCCACUGACCUGGACACCCAAUUAUGUCAUAGGUGCUGUGAUCUAGAGACAAAAUGUUCCUUACACUGGCAGAUACUUGCAAACUAAGGGGAAUGAGCUUCCUUCUGAAUGUUUAUGAAGGAGAGGCCACUGUGAGGAUAGACAGUGAAGUGCAACUACAGCCCGCAAAUGAAAAUGAAUAAUAUUAAUCCAGCCCCUCAAGGCAGUCAUCUGUCUUAGAGCUAUUGGAAUCCUGGAUCAUUGUGGGAAAUGAAAGGAACUGGUUUUUAGCAAGGAGACCAAGAAACUCUACUCCCUAGGGGCUAGCAAUGAGAGAAAGGAAGCCUUAAGUCUUUGAGCACAGGGUGACAGUUUGGGUCCUAUGUGAGAUGAUCAAAUCCACAGCAACAGAGGAAAGGACAAAAGGAAAAGGUCUGUAGCAGCACUACAUCAGAAAAAAAUGGAUUCAGCAAGGAAGUGGGUGACUCUGAGUAAGCAUCCAUGUCAGGAUGGUUUUGCUACAGCCCCCAACAAAACAUUAAUUAGUUUAAGAAACUCAACUUCGGUUUACAAGUGUUUUGGAAAAGUAACAAAGAACAACAUAAGUAACAAAAUAAUUCCUCAGGUCAUUACAAUGGAUGUUUCCUAUAACUGAAAAAUAUGGUUAAAAAGUACAAACUACAUUUGGUGUGCAAACUGUUUAGUUCUUAAUUCCAAACUAAAUUGUACAUUAUAUAGUAAAAUUUUGACCAGAAAAACUUGGAGAUUUUAGUAAAAAUUUCAUUGACAUAUUUACAGCCCCAGUGUAGUUUGGCCGGUGUGCAAAGCCUGACUAAGGAGGUUAUAGAAAAAAAUAUCAGACUUAAGCCCAUCAAAUCAUUAAAGAUGCUUUGGCAAGACUUCAAGCUUUACAGACAUACUCCAUGUGACCAGAGAUGUCAUAACCAGUGUUCUUUCUCUUGAAAUGUUAGAAUGCUUUAGUUUUAUUCUAUAAUUUCCGUGUUCCAUGGAACAGCAUUCAUUUCUCCCAGUUUUAGUAACAUAAUGAGAGAUAUAUUGAGUGUAUAGAGCAGGAAAGACAUGAAAACUUAUAUUGCAUAAUAUUAGCAAACAUAAAAGAUAGCAUUAUAAAUUUUUAAAAAUCCAAAAAAAUUCCAGAAACAGAACAGUGAGCAUGUUUAAAAAGUCAGGACUGACCGUUUCUGUGAGUUCUGAGGACUGUAAAUGAGCCUCAAUCCAUAAAGCUGAGAGGUUGUCUUAGCCCACAUAUGCAGCAGGUGACUCCCUCUGACAAAAGCAAGAUUUAGCUGGAUCUUUUAAAAAAAAAA